rnacentral:rRNA from 1 species
UACAGAGGUCUCAAGCGUUGUUCGGAUUCAUUGGGCGUAAAGGGUGCGUAGGUGGCGCGGUAAGUCGGGUGUGAAAUUUCGGAGCUUAACUCCGAAACUGCAUUCGAUACUGCCGUGCUUGAGGACUGGAGAGGAGACUGGAAUUUACGGUGUAGCAGUGAAAUGCGUAGAGAUCGUAAGGAAGACCAGUGGCGAAGGCGGGUCUCUGGACAGUUCCUGACAGCUGAGGCACGAAGGCCAGGGGAGCAAACGGGG